CAGGGAGACAACAAAAUGUUUAAUAUUAUUAUUUUGUCACCUUAGGUCGAUCGGUAUCUCACGUUCUUAAUUUGUUAAGAAUUUCAUUUCCUAAGUUUUUCUAGGUCACACCCAUUAUUUUUCCUGGGCCAUUAGCUCAGGUGGUUAGAGCGCACCCCUGAUAAGGGUGAGGUCCCUGGUUCAAGUCCAGGAUGGCCCAUAUCUCUAUGUUGGGGGUAUAGCUCAGUUGGUAGAGCGCCUGCUUUGCAAGCAGGAUGUCAGCGGUUCGAGUCCGCUUACCUCCACUGAUUACCACCUCUUCCAUAAUCUGUAGAAAGGAAAUGUUUUGGGUUGUGAUCAAAUUCUGAACGAAUCUAGCUUCCUAAUGUAACUAUUAAGAUGCUGGACUCAUUGAAUAAAUUUCAUUGUUUUCAGAGAACCUUGACAACUGCAUAGAUUAUUUUUUAAAGACAAUAAGCAUCUUUAAUGAUGCAGAUUUAUUAUUUGUGCAAAUGCAUUAAUAACAAUUCUAUUAAGCUGAUGCUUCAAUUUUGAAGUUAUU
rnacentral:tRNA from 1 species